rnacentral:other from 1 species
CUCACCCUGCAGUGUUCGCGAGUGUUUUAUAUUCCUUGAACCAUUCUUCAGCAUCGGUCACUGAAUUUGUUCGACGGGCGUGAGCGUCGCUCGUCCGAUGAACCCGAAGUUGAACUAAGGUGACCACUCUUGAGCCGUCAGGUUCGGGAUGCCGGCACAGCGGCACAGGCGGGGCUUCA